rnacentral:rRNA from 1 species
UACGUAGGGGGCAAGCGUUGUCCGGAAUCAUUGGGCGUAAAGAGCGCGUAGGCGGCCCAGUAAGUCCGCUCUGAAAGUCAGGGGCUCAACCCUCGAAUGCCGGUGGAUACUGUCGGGCUUGAGUACGGGAGAGGCGAGUGGAAUUCCUGGUGUAGCGGUGAAAUGCGCAGAUAUCAGGAGGAACACCGAUUGCGAGGGCAGCUCGCUGGACCGUUACUGACGCUGAGACGCGAAAGCGUGGGGAGCAAACAGG